rnacentral:tRNA from 1 species
CAAGGAAUAGUUUAAUAAAAUAUUAAUUUUGGAGAUUAAAGAUAAGGUGUUCUUUUCCUUGA